GGAGGAGAAAGUGAGGCUGGUGAUCUUGCACAGCCUUCCCUCACUCAAAUCAAAGCCAACUGCAAGUCAUGUCGUCGUCUCCCUGAUGUCUUGGUCUUCUUUGAGAAUGAAGGACAAACCAUACAACCACAACAUGCUGCUGCUGAAAGAGAUUGGGAAAUCAUAAAGUGGAAAGAGGAGAAUCUGGAUCUGUGUGGAGUGCCUGGCACAAGUGAUAGCAUGCCCAUGUUGUAGAUGAGGAGCCACAUGUGGCCUGAAGGUCGAAGAUCCCCCACCCCUGGUCUUGCCCAUGGGCACCUACGAGCCUGGAGCUGAACCCAGGGCUCUUGUCUUCAAAUCCAUCUCAUUUCCCCGCAGGUCCCACUGUGACUUGCUCCCCCUCCUCCCAUCCCCCUCAUCUGCACAUUCCUUUUUGGCCUUACCCAUGUCCAGGUGCCGCCCGCUUCAGUUCCUCAGGACACAUCUGGGGCACAGAGUAACUGGGAGAGGACACAAGACACAGACACAGCACCAUGCUCCCCCAAUAAAAUGGAGGGUGGGGGGCAGGAGGCCCGAGGGCAGGCAGGGAUGUUUUUUGUGACUCCAGAGCUGGGUAAGGAUUAAGUGACUAGACGGUGAGGCCCCUGCCUUUGUAGAUACUCCAGAAAUAGGGUAGGAGGGGGUGGGAGGUUGGACUCACGAACCUUGAAGCACCCCAUAACUAGGAUGUUUCUUGGUUCUUGUGUGCCUAAUAGACACGUAGAACAGAUGUGUCCCGCAGAUGCUUAGCAUGGUUCGCUAGCGCUUUUGUAGGGGGUUAUAAACCCUUCACAUGCCUUCCUCACCCUAUCUCCCAUUUCCCGGGGCAGAAGUCCCUCUGGUGGACUGGCCAAGUCCUGAGACUCAGAGGUGAGACAGUGAGUGAGCCAGGCCCCCGGUCAUCUCGAGGGGCAGCUCACGGCCCUGGAAGUGAAGCAAUGUACUGUCUGGGCCAACACCAUUGGCAGCUGGGGGCACCCGAAUUUGAAUGUGCCACCUCAGGUUUCAGGCCCAGUGAGCGUGGUUUGAAUACAGACUCGGGCCUGGGGUCCGAAUCCGGCUGUGCUAUCAUGUCCAAGUCACGAGUCCUCUGAGUCACUGUUUCUCCACCCGACAAGUGGGGAUGAUUCCUUUUCACAUUUCUAUAACACUUUAUAGUUUUCCAAAUGUUUUCUUCCCAAGUGACCAAGGGAACUAAUACAAGUUAUGUCCAUUUUGCAGAUGAGAAAAAUGAGAAUCGCAUGUGAAGUGAUUUGGCUGCAGACCUGUGGGAAAGAGCUAAAAAUUGAACACAGGCCUACUGACUACAGUUCUUGGGUCCUAGAGAGGCCAAACUGGCUGUCCAACCUGUAUCUGAGCUGCGCGCUCGUGUGUAUGUGUGUGUGUGUGUAUGUGUGCGUGCGUGCACUCAGGCUCGCAUUUAUGGAGGGGUGAAUCCAGCUGCUUCUUUCUAGCCAUUAAUUAUGGGAUCAUACUAACAUGUACUUAUCCAAGGUUGGGGACCCAGGACCACUCUGCUCGCUAAAGACUUCCUGCGAAAUCCAGCCUGUCCCUGACUCCCAGGCUCCAUCUGACCAUUGUUCCGCUUCACUUUGGGCACAGCACCAGUGGCCACAGCUGCAGCCUGGAGAGCUGGUCACUUCUGUGGGGAAGAGGAGGGGAUAGGCAUCCUCUGCUUUGCAUGCUUCUGAAAAAGCUUUCGUCCUGCCGUCUCUCUGUAGCUUCCUGCAGGCUUAGUGGUGGUGGGUGGGUGAGCCCAAGGCCUCUGAACCCACUGAGGUCUCCAGAAGGGCAGUGUCGAUGGGGAAGAGGCCAGAGUGCUGGGGAAGGCAGAGGAGCUGACCUCAAUUAUGCUCACCACCGAUGACCCCCUGCCCGUUGAGUAGGGCAGUGACCAUCUGACGUGGUAACAGACACAAAAUUAAUCCAAGGCACAAGGCCAUCACACCGAGAAGGAUCUGGGUGACCUGUGAACAGAAGCAGACACCUGCUAAGCAGAUGUGGGGCCUUGGUUGGCACCUGUUUUCCUAGGCAUUGCACCCGUUAUCCUUUGGUACCUCAGGAACGUCCAAUCUCUGUCCCUCUGUAAAGGCGGAAGGAGCAAGUCUUUGGUUUUCUCCCCUCCAUCAGAGUGACCUCUGAGCGAAGGGGAGGACAGAACUCUAACCCUGACUGCCCUGGGGAUCCCAGCUCUCCUUCCAGGAUCGCAGCGCGCCUCAUAUACAGCUUCAUGGAUUUCAGAGUUAGAAGGGACUUUAGAGAGCGCCGUUUCCCUGCCGAGAAUCGCUCUCCCCGUUUUGCUUUCUCCUUUGCUUUAGUUUCACCUCAUAGCUCACCCAGUAGGGUUUUGGGGGUCAGGAUGCACAUCUCUGGCUCAGCCCUCAGACAGGCUCCUUACCAGCUCCCUGAGAAGGGCCCAUGGGCAGUUACUCUGCCAGCCCGUCCCUCUGUUGCCCUCUGCCGGAAACACCACCUUCUACCGUUGGUCCCUGCAGCCCCAGUUAACUUGAUUGGAUCCCAGGAGCCCAAUGAUCCAAUUUCCCUCCGUAUCUGGCUUGUAUGAGAGCUGAGUGUGGCCUACAAUCCAGGUUCUUCUGAGGCUGGACACAUACAUACAUACGUAUACGAAACUCCAGUAUUUGAUGCAUGAAAGCUUCCAGUGAAUGUGGAGGGCAAAGGAGGGCUGGUUGGAUGUGUGUAGGGGAAGAGAGAGAGGUAGAGUGGUGCAUAGCAUAAGCAGGCUGUGGUGGAUUACCAAUGAUGACUUGAGCCUUGUAAGAAGAAGGUAUGUAUAGUAUACACUUCAAAGUGUAAAAGAUGUCACCUGUGGGCAUGGAUGGUUGGAAAAGGAGUGAGGAAAAAACCACGUGCCCCUUGAUAGGAGCAGAGCAAGAGCUACCCUGGCACUUCUGAGGAGAACUUUGGGAGAGGCCUUCAGUAGGUUGAGUUGAUUCCCCCAUCCUUGCACCCCAAGAUGUAUGGGAGGCCAUGCACAAGAAUCACAAAGGAUGCAUGAUCUGGAGGAGCUACAGUUUACACCUUUAAAAAGAAAGUCCCUAUUUAAAUGAGAUGAAAUCAUGGACAGGUAAGGAAAGAUACACACACACACACACACACACACACACACAAGCAGCCAGGUGACACAGUGGUUAGAGUGAUAGUCUUGGAGUCAGGAAAGUACCUGUUCAAUCCUCUGUGCUACCCCUCCUGGCUGUGUGAUCCUGCGUGAAUGUGCCCUAGGCCACCCUCUCAGACUCUUCAGUUAGAAUCAAUAUCAAUCAGUGAUCAAUAAAAGUAAGAGCCUACUGUGUGCCAGGCUCUGUGCUAAGGGCUGAGCACAACAAAGAAGGUGGUAGAGGGAAUUUCCUCACUGAAAAGCCCUCUACCAAUAAAAUCAUUGUCCAACCAAGAGACCUUCUGAACCAUCUCCAACCUCCUCACUUGAUAAAUGAGGCAACAGAACCUGCCCAUUCAUAUCCUUCCUGUUAGGUCAGGGCCAGGAUUAGAACUCAGGUUUUUUGGUAUAGUGCCCUCAUUCUACAAAGUUACUCCCAUUAGGUCAUCAUGGGUUCUUAACCUUUUUUUUUUCUAUCAUGAGCCCCUUUGCCAGUUUGGUAAAAUCCCCAGCCCCCAAUCAGAAUGUGGUUUUCAAUUGUAUAAAAUUUAUGGAAUUACCUUGAUCAGGCUACUUUCUGAAAGUUCAUCAAGUCCAGAUUACAAAUUCCUAGGAGGAGGAUAACAAGGUCUGAAUGCAAAUUGAAGAGCGGUGUUGAAAUCCUGUUUCUGCAGCUGCGUGAGCUGGGGCAGAUCAUUUUGCGCACUGGACCCCAGUGUACUUCUGUAUAAAGGAAGAGGCUUGAACCAGGUGAUCUCCAAGGACCCUUCUAGCUCAAAGCUUAUGAUGACCCCAAGAAAACACUUACUGGAUCAUAGAUUUAGAGCUCAAAGGGAUGUUAAAAUCAUUUUGUCCAAUACCCUCGUUUUAUACUUGAGGAAAAUGAAGGCCAAAGUAUUUAAGUGACUUCCUUAAGGCUACAGAGAGGUUGAAAGAGAAAGGAUUAAGACUCCAUGGAUUCCAUUGAGACUUUUCCCAAGGACUAUGGGUUCCCCCUUCAGGAAUUUCUUCAGAGGGGCUUCAGGUUGAGGGGGGGAUGCCAGCAUCCCAGGCUCUUGGAAUGUGGUACCCCCACCACUGAGGACCCAUUGUAAAGAUGCUGUUAGAUGGCUCUUUGACAACCGUCUCAUUGGACACGGUUCUAAAACAGAAAGACUGUGCAUGAUGGGAUUAGUCACAGUGGCAAGGUCCUGUAGGAAUCUUGCAUGCCAGCUGUCCUUUGCAACCAAAGCCCAUCUUUCUGAGGGAGUCUGCUGCCUCCAUGGGUGUGCAAGUAUACCUGAGAAUAUGGUGUGACCCUGCUCUUCAUGUACCAGUGUCCCUCUGCGAAUGGGACUUCCUGGAAUGGCAGGGCAGUUGGGUCAUAGGUCCUAAAAUCACCGAGUUGAAAGAGAUCUCAAAGGCCAUCCAGCUUACCCAUCUCUGAGCAAGAAUCCCCUCUGGAGAUUCCUGAGGGAAAUGAUGAAGGUAGUGUAGCAGAGCCCAGAGAGAGGGCUGGUCUCAGAACAAAAAGACCUUGGACACAUUCAGACCAACCUCCUGGCAAAAAUUGAAACCCAUCUAAUGGCACAACCCCAUGUCACCAUCGAAAGACUAAAUGUACUAAGUCCUGCUGAGUUUUUAGAGACUAUCCCUAGACUUGAAACAAAUUAGCCUGUGAACGAUGGUGAGUAUAACCUUGCCUUGACUGUGUUACCAUCCUAGACUCCCUGCUGACUCCAAAGGUCGCGCUCCAAGAGACACUCAUCCCAGAUGCCGACCUCGUGGUUUUCACAGAUGGCUGCUGCCUAAGGAACCCGGAGGGAAAAGUAUGGCAUCACCAUGGUAACAGGUAUAGGAGUUGGCCCCCUCCCCAUGCACAUUCUGCAUACCAGGCAGCGCUAGAAGCAGUGUCAAGGGCAUGUGAGUUGGGAAAGGGGCUGAAGAUUAACAUCUACACAGACAUCAGGUAUGCCUUUGGGGUUGCCCAUGAUUUUGGAAUGUUAUAGAAGCAACAAGGAUGCUUAACUUCUACCGAACAGCCCAUAAAAAACAGUAAUCAAGUCUCUGGGUUACUAGAAUGUCUACUGCUCCCCAUGCAGGUGGCCAUUGUCAAAACUGCUGGCCACUCUUGUGAAUCCACUCCUGAGGCCCGAGGGAAUCAACUGGCUAAGGAGGCAGCUCUCACAACUCUGUUCCUGUAAUGGUUUCCUAUACCUCCCCCACGGCACUCCCACCUAUUGAUCUGGUAGCUUUAACAGAGGCUCCAGAAAUAGCAUGCCAAUGGGAACGACAAGGGUGCACCUGAGCCUCUGAAGCAGGGCUUUGGAAACAUGGACAGGAGGUUGUCCUCCCUGGCCAGCUACACCGGUCGCUGCUAAGCCACCUGCAUGAUCAGUGCCACUGGACAAACUUUAUGAACUUUCUUCCCAGCACUGAUGGGGAAUAUCUAAACAGUGGCUGAAGAAGUGGUGUCCAGAUGUCAGUCUUGUCCCCUGUACACCCCAUCCAAGCCCCUGAAGUCUCCCUGAGGCUGCUUCCUGCUCCCCUCCUUGCCCUCUGAGAUCUGGCAGAUAGAUUUCAUCCAGCUGUCUCUGGCCGAGAGUAUACAUUAGCCCUUGUUAUGGCCUGUGUGUUUUCCAGUGGGGUGGAGAUCUUCCUGUGUCAGCCAGCCACCUUGGGGGUAGUAGGAAAGGCCCUCUGUGAACACAUCAUCCCUUAUCGGGGGGGUAGCACAGGAGGUUCAUAAUGAUCAGAGAACCCAUUUUACGGGGUAGAGGCUCAGAGCAAUCCCGGUGGCCUGGGGAAUCUGCUAGCACCUACAUUGUGCUUACCAUCCCUAGUCCUCAGGAUUGGUGGACAGAACUAACAGAAUAUUGAAGGGACUACUAGGAAAAUUGACCUCCGAUUUCCAAGCACCAUGGGUCAAGGUACUAUCCAUUCCUCUCCUUGCCCUCUGGUCAUGGCCUGUGGGCAAGACCAAACUUUCCCUGUACUGGGUCGUCACCGGGAGGCCCAUGCCCUUCACCUGGCCAGUCUCUCCCCACUUGCUUCACAUUAUCUUCAGGAAUACUGCAUUAGGCUUAGUCAGCAAAUUCACCAGCUUCAAGACCUUAUCUCUCAGGCUCAUUUCCUAGGUUCUCUUGUGGCCAGCUCCCCUGGUGAUUGGGUGUGUUGAAGUGUCACCAGCGGUGGAAGGGACCCUUCCAGGUACUGCCCACAACCUCUGCUGCCGCCACGUUCCAAGGAAUAGACUCCGGGAUCCAUCUGUCACAACUAAAGAUUGUCCCCGCUCUUAAGUGGGCGUCUGAGCUCGUAGGAGACCUUGCCCCCUGGUUCUGCAGGGGCCUGAAGCGGACAACAUCUGAUGCAGACAGCUUCCCCAAGAGUCUGGACGGGCCUGCAUGGAGAAGAGCUACCUCCCCACCCGAGCCCCUUACAUACUUAAGACUGGUUACCUCUAUCUUUUGGUAGCUUUUCCUUGUUUUUACUUAGCUGAUCUGUACUCCCAUUCUGCCCCUCACUCCCCCCACCUUGGUAACCCCUUGUGGCCUGCUCUUCUGCAUGCUUGCAAUUGCCUUGCAGUGGCUGCCCAUCUCUGCAGACACCGUCAUGGGGGGAAGGGCAGCUCCUCCUCCCAUCCCCCACUGACCCCCUGCAGAAGCUGGGCUAGGAGGCAGUCAGGCUGGUUAACCUGUCCAGCUGCUGGUGUAAUUGACUGUCCAGGGGGCGCCUCAGUACAAUCUAUUUCUGGCCUUGUUGGGGAUCCGUUCGUUUAGUAGCCCAGGUGAGGGUCUAAGAUUCUCUGAGACAGGAAGCUCCAAAGAACCAAUCCUGUUUCAAGACGCAGGUGAACCUGUCUGCUAAGGAGUCUGACGUUCUCCUUGGUGCACGCCCGGAUGUGAACAGCUCUCAGGGCCCUGUCUUUUCCAGGUAUGUCCAGGGUAUUUCUGUCUGGCCUCAGAAGGAUCACAUAGCACUUGGGAGCGAAGAUGCAAGUCAGAAUCCCAGCACUGGAGGCCAAGAUGGAGAAGACCUCCACAGCCACCAUGGCCUUGCCCUUGGUGCUCUGAUACAUGGGCAGGAAGGAUAUCCAGACACUGCAGAACACAAGCAUACUGGAUGUCAGGAACUUGGCUUCAUUGAAAGUGUCUGGCAGAUUCCUGGCCAAGAAAGCCAAGGUGAAGCUCCCCAAGGCCAGUAAGGCCAUGUAGCCCAGGACACAGUAGAAGAUAAGGAUGGAGCCCUCAUUACACUGAAUGACGAUGAAGCUAGGCUCAGCGUGUGCAUCCAUCUCUAGGAAUGGGGGAUAGGUCCCAAGCCAGAUGCCACAGAGACACAUUUGGAUUAGAGUACAGAUCAAAAUGAGAGAAUAAGAUGCUGUGGAGCCCAUCCACCUCCUGAGCUUGCUGCCUGGCUUUGUGGCCUUGAAGGCCAGAACCACAGUGAUGGUUUUAGCUAAAAUGGAGGCAACGGCCACUGUAAACACAACUGAAAAUGUGCUUUGUCACAGGAGACAAGUGGCGGUGUUAGGACGGCCAAUGAAGAGCAAGGGGCAGAGGAAGCAGAGGGUGAGGGAGCCCAGAAGAGUGUAGCUGAGACUGCGGUUAUUGGCUUUGACUAUGGGAGUGUCUCUGUGCUUCACAAAGACUCCAAGGACCAGAGCAGUGAGGAGGGAGAAGCAGAGAGCUGCACAGGCCAGGGUCAUUCCAAGAGGUUCUUCAUAAGCCAAGAAGGUCACAGUCUUGGGGAGGCAUCGAUGUCUCUCACUGCUUGGGUACUGAUCUUCAGGGCACUGCAGACAUUGCUCUGCAUCUGUGAACAAACAAAAAAUAACUUCACUGUAUCCCAUUUAGACUGUAGUUUUCUAUCUCCAAUAAAGCACAGUUUUAGUCAUUCCA